rnacentral:rRNA from 1 species
AUUGAACGCUGGCGGCAUGCUUUACACAUGCAAGUCGAACGGUAACAGCACUUCGGUGGCUGACGAGUGGCGAACGGGUGAGUAAUACAUCGGAACGUGCCUAGUAGUGGGGGAUAACUACUCGAAAGAGUAGCUAAUACCGCAUGAGAUCUAAGGAUGAAAGCAGGGGACCUUCGGGCCUUGCGCUACUAGAGCGGCUGAUGGCAGAUUAGGUAGUUGGUGGGAUAAAAGCUUACCAAGCCGACGAUCUGUAGCUGGUCUGAGAGGACGACCAGCCACACUGGGACUGAGACACGGCCCAGACUCCUACGGGAGGCAGCAGUGGGGAAUUUUGGACAAUGGGCGCAAGCCUGAUCCAGCAAUGCCGCGUGCAGGAUGAAGGCCUUCGGGUUGUAAACUGCUUUUGUACGGAACGAAAAGCCCUCUUCUAAUACAGGAGGGUCAUGACGGUACCGUAAGAAUAAGCACUGGCUAACUACGUG